AUGGCAACCAGCUGCUGCGACUACGUUCCUUCUCUGCCACUGGACGACAUGCACAAGCCACGGCCUUAUCGUGCCAGCCCAUGGGGUGACUACUUCCUGACCUUCAAGCCAUGCACCCCAUCGCAGUAUUUAUCAAUGGAAGACAGGGCAGAAGCUAAUAAGCAAGAGGUGCUGAAAAUCAUACUAGACACCGUGAGCUCUACCGAUCUACCUCAAAAGCUGGAGCUUGUUGACACAUUGCAGCGUAUUGGGGUGGACUAUCACUACCGACAAGAGAUUGAUGAAUUGCUGCGUGAUAUAUAUUGUGACAGGCAUGAAAUUCAUGACCUUUAUACAGCUGCCUUGCGGUUUUACUUGCUUAGGAAACAUGGCUACCCUGUCUCUUCUGAUGUGUUUACCAUGUUUGUUGACGGGAACAGAAUUAUUGGGAGCACUGAUGCUAUAACUUUGUUGGUUCUCUACAACGCUGCACAUCUGAGAACCCAUGGAAAAAAAAUACUUGAUGAUCUUAUGACUUUGACAAAGCAACUCCUAAAAUAUACAGUGAACCAGUUGGAUCCGACAUUGGCACAAGAAGUGCAAUACACCCUAGAAACUCCCCUUUUCAGGAGGCUUCACCGAAUUGAAGCAAAGCGCUACAUCUCAAGAGAAAAAGCACACACGAAACGAGACCAUAUUGGAGUUUGCAAAGCUGGACUACAAUAUCGUGCAAAGUUUGUACUGCGAUGA
rnacentral:rRNA from 1 species